UACAGAGGGUGCGAGCGUUAAUCGGAAUCACUGGGCGUAAAGGGUACGUAGGUUGUUACUUAAGUCAGAUGUGAAAGCCCCGGGCUUAACCUGGGAAUUGCAUUUGAUACUGGGUAGCUAGAGUACAGUAGAGGAUAGCGGAAUUCCACGUGUAGCGGUGAAAUGCGUAGAUAUGUGGAGGAACAUCAGUGGCGAAGGCGGCUAUCUGGACUGAUACUGACACUGAGGUACGAAAGCGUGGGGAGCAAACAGG
rnacentral:rRNA from 1 species